ensembl:lncRNA
UCUUCCUCUCCAGCCUCCACCUGCUUCCUGCUUCUGUAAAUUCAUCCUGAAAUCAAACCACAUGAGAUAAGUAUUUCCUCCUCCUCCUCCUCCUCCUCCUCCCACAUUCAAAGAGUCACCGGUUUCCAUGGAGACGGGGGGCGUGAUGACCUCAUAUCCAGGUGUGGUUGCUUUGAUGAGGUGGAACCGACCGACCAACCAGCACAGCUAAAGUCAUAGCAAGAAGCUAACUACACAACUGCUGUUAUGGAAAGAGGCUAACUACAGAACUAAAGCCAUAGAAAGAAGCUAACUACACAGCUAAAGUCAUAGAAAGAAGCUAACCACUCAACUCAAGUUAUAGAAAGAAGCUAACUGCACAGCUAAAGUCAUAGAAAGAAGCUAAUUACACAGCUAAAGCCAUAGAAAGAAGCUAACUACACAGCUAAAGUCAUAGAAAGAAGCUAACUAGACAGCUAUAAAGUUAUAGAAAGAAGCUAACUAGACAGCUAUAAAGUUAUAGAAAGAAGCUAACUAGACAGCUAUAAAGUUAUAGAAAGAAGCUAACUGCACAGCUAAAGUCAUAGAAAGAAGCUAAUUACACAGCUAAAGUCAUAGAAAGAAGCUAACUAGACAGCUAUAAAGUUAUAGAAAGAAGCUAACUAGACAGCUAUAAAGUUAUAGAAAGAAGCUAACUAGACAGCUAUAAAGUUAUAGAAAGAAGCUAACUAGACAGCUAUAAAGUUAUAGAAAGAAG